UAGUCAGUGAGACUGAGAUGGUGUUG
rnacentral:piRNA from 1 species